UAAGAAUCACGUAACAGUGUACUAGACAAAUGUUUUUAUUAUCUGAAAAUUUAGGUGGCUAAAAAUGAAUACCGAAACUUAGAUUUAAUUUUAAUAAAAUUAGAGGUAGAAGAUCGUGUUGUAAAUAUAUUAUAUAGGUAACUAUUAUCAACAUUGACAAUGCAAAUAUGAGUAACUAUAAAAUCUUUUAAAAAAGAUUCACCUAUAGCCCAAGGUUUUCA
rnacentral:rRNA from 11 species